rnacentral:sRNA from 1 species
CCAGGGGGCUCCCGGGUCAUCAGCCACUACGCCGGGCAGGAUGCCACGGAGAGGCAGCGCAGCCGCGUCUGGACCUAGGUGCCGGUCUCCACUCGCCAGCAGGAGCGGAGAGGGAGCAGGAAAGGAGCCCAUUCUCGAGGAUGGGGCUGAAACGGGAAGCUUGGGGAGACCGCUGCCUUGGGGACCCCUGCGUCAUGUGAAGACUGGAGGACGCGGAAGGGACAGCACUGGCCGGGGAGGGCAAGCGGCCGCUGGCGUACAUAAGGGAUUGGGAAUGGCAUACACUUAGCGAGGACCCCCAGAGCUGUUCUCGAAUCGCCGGGGAGGCCACUGAGCCGCAGUCCAGCGAGGUCUUCAGCUAUUCCGCGGAGCGGACCGCUGUUUACGCUCUGGGGCGGUAGGCCCUUCGCGGGGUCCUGUCCCUUCUUCCCUUGGUCUCACUGCGGGGUCGGCGCGCGCCCCAGCCCUGGCCUGCUGCUUCUCUUUCUAGACCACAGCCCUCAGAGCUAAGGCCCCGGCGCCUCUCUGCUGGGUUGGAGUGCUGGGGACUCAGCCCUGGGGACUCGAAAGUCGGGGCGUUCGCUUCACCGCGUUUCCCCCUUGGCGGCCGGAAUGGCGUCCCCUCCCCUUGCAUCCCUCUCUGAUCCCGUGCCCUGCAGCGUGACGCUCUCCACUGUGCCUAUCCACUACCCUGGCGUCCCAGAGUGUGCCGCGGGUCACCAGGGUUCCCAUAACGUCGCAGCAGAGCUUAGACGCUACGGGGCGAACACCCGCCCCACUCUCUGACGCGACCAGCCUAGGGGGGCGAGGCCAGAGCUUGCGCGGGUUAACCAGAGUGACCACUCCGGAGCCCUGACUGCGGCCAAGGACGCAGGCGUGGGCCGGCGCAUGCGCAGACGAAACAGGCACCGACGCUGGGGCUUCCCGCAGUGUGAUUUGGGGCCGGGGAUGCCGCGGCGGGGAAGGCGAUUGGUCCGGAUGUGUGGUACCACCGGCCGCCGGCUCCGCCCCGGCCCCCGCCCCACACGCCGCAUCACUUACAGGGCCCGGGGCUGCUGGACCUGCGGACGUGAAUCUUAUCGCCAUGGACCUUACCUUGCACAACCCAAAGUAGCUGCUUUGGGGCAGGGGGUGGCCAGAGUGCUUAGGGAAAUGUGGAGCCCUACCCAGAACAACGGUGGAGGGAAAGGGAAGAAACGCAGAAGUGCCCCAGUUCGGACGUAGGGAAGUCUUCCUCUUCGUGGUUUUUGGAGAACCCUAGCUAAGAGAGGAAAGGGACUUAUUAAAAGACCCGCAAGAAGGGACGUAAGUCUCAUAGCCCUGAGAGGUGAAGCCAGCUGGACUUGCUGGGUCAAGUGGGGACCUAGAGAACUUUUCUGUAUCUAGAGGUUUGUAAAAUGCACCAAUCAGUGCUAUGUAAAAACGCACCAAUUGGCGCUCUGUAGCUAGCUAGCGGUUUGUAAAAUGAGCCAAUCAGUGCUCUGUAAAAUGGACCAAUCAGCAGGACGUGGGCAGGGACAACUAAGAGAAUAAAAGCUGGCCACCCCAGCCAGCUGUGGUAACCCGCUCUAGCUCCCUUACAGGCUGUGGAAGCAUUGUUCUUUUGCUUUUCACACUAAAUUUUGCUGCUGCUCACUCUUUGGGGCUGCACCACCUUUAAGAGCUAUAACACGGGGAAGGUCCACUGCUUCAUUCUUGAAGUCAGUCAGACCACACCCACCGGAAGGAACCAACGCCCGACACAGCCCCACGCAUCCCUCCUGUUCUCACCUAUACUGAAAUUCUUGGGCAAAAGCUGUCUGUGGACACACCCAGGGGAAAGGCCAGCCCAGGCAGGUAUUUCUUAGUGGUCCCCCUCA